rnacentral:rRNA from 1 species
CUCGCGAGAGCAAGCGGACCUCAUAAAGUAUGUCGUAGUCCGGAUUGGAGUCUGCAACUCGACUCCAUGAAGUCGGAAUCGCUAGUAAUCGUAGAUCAGAAUGCUACGGUGAAUACGUUCCCGGGCCUUGUACACACCGCCCGUCACACCAUGGGAGUGGGUUGCAAAAGAAGUAGGUAGCUUAACCUUCGGGAGGGCGCUUACCACUUUGUGAUUCAUGACUGGGGUGAAGUCGUAACAAGGUAACCGUAGGGGAACCUGCGGUUGGAUCACCUCCUUA